rnacentral:rRNA from 1 species
GUCCUUUUGUUUAUUUAUUUAAGGUCUGACCUGCCCAAUGAGGAAUUGAAUGGCCGCAGUAUUUUAACUGUGCUAAGGUAGCAUAAUCAUUUGUCUUUUAAUUGAGGGCUGGAAUGAAGGGUUGGACGAGGUAUUAACUUUCUUUGAUUUAAUGAGGAGAAUUUAAUUUUUGAGUUAAAAAGCUUAAAUUUAUUUGUGGGACGAGAAGACCCUAUAGAUCUUUAUAGUUUUAUAUUUUAAUAAUUUGGUGAUUUAUUUGUUUUAAGUAGAUGAACUAUUUUGUUGGGGUGACUGUAGAAUUUGAAUAACUUCUAUUAUUUUAUUUCAUUAAUUAAUGUUUUUGUGAUCCAUAUUUUAUGAUUAUAAGAUUAAGUUACCUUAGGGAUAACAGCGUAAUUUCCUCGGAGAGUUCAUAUUGAUGGGGGAGUUUGCGACCUCGAUGUUGGAUUAAAAUAAGUUAUGGAUGCAGGAGUCUAUUUACUAGGUCUGUUCGACCUUUAAAUUUUU